rnacentral:lncRNA from 1 species
UCAAGAUGGCUUGCAAGUGGUUGCUGCAUCAGGGGGAGUUUUCAGAUAAACUCUGACUGAAAGAACAUGGCUUUCGAAGGUGGGAUUCAGGCUGAGGACGGUGGUGCUUCUCUCAGAGAACUCUGUGUGUGUGCACUGUCCACAGGGGUAAACUAAGACCCAACCUGCCUUGACAACGAGCAACACCAGAGCUGGUACAUCCUCCUAAGACAUCGUCCAUCUUGCAUGAGACAGAUUCUCCAAGCAUAGGAAAAGCAGGCCGCCAGUUAUGGAGCGGGACAAUGGCACCAUCCAGGCUCCAGGCUUGCCGCCCACCACCUGCGUCUACCGUGAGGAUUUCAAGCGACUGCUGCUACCCCCAGUUUACUCAGUGGUGCUGGUGGUCGGCCUGCCACUGAACGUCUGUGUCAUCGCCCAGAUAUGCGCAUC